AUGAAGAAGCACUACCUUGGUGGCCUCGCGGAGGGCGCCCCAGCACUCGAUGCGGUUGUACUUGCGGGAGGAGGAGUGGAAGUGCACCCACACCCUGGCGUCCAUGAGCUCGGGCCGGGCGGCGAAGAGGGCGGCGUCGCCGUGCACCACGGCCUUGAGCACCAGCGGCAGCUCCUUGGAGAAGACGUAGUAGCGGAACCCAGCGGCCAGCUCCUGCAGCGGGUUCGGCCCGCUGACGUGGCAGUGCAGGUGCAGCGUCAUCUCCUUCCACUCGGCGAAGACGUCGUCGCGCCGCCACCCCCACCGCCGCAGCUGCUCGCUCGUGAUGGUCUCCGACACCGCCAGCGUCAGGUUCGCGGUGAAGUCGCAGUGGCUCAGCGUGUAGGCCCUCGGGAACGCCUCACCGGCGCCGGCGUACUGCACCGUCAGCUUCGCCGCGUCGAAGGUCGUCGGCGCGCCCAGCACCUUGGCCGCCUGGACAGAGCAGAAAAAGGUGCCGCUCCGAUUGUCAGGUGUGAGCUAAGGGAGAAGAAGAAAGGAAGAAGAAGCAAGCUAGUUGAGCUUACGAGGGAGGAAGAGAGCAGGUCGGAUCUCCGGCCGCCGUCGCAGCAGACGACCAAGAAGCGCCUCCGGCUCCUGCCCCUGCCGCCGCCGCCGGUGGCCGUGGUGCUGGUGACGGCGGCGGAGAAGCAGAGCGCGGCGCUGCGCGACGCCAUUGGGAAUCUCGCAUCAACAACAAGCCCCUGCUCGCCGUGGCAUCCUGCAGCCGCCUCCUCCCGCUGCUGCUCCGACCGGCCGCCCGCCCAAACUCCUUCUCCUCCUCCUCCGGUGGCUGGUGGUGCCGCGUGCUUGGCACAAGAAGUGAGAGAGAGGGAUGUACGUGGCUGCUGCCUGAGCUGCACGAGAGAGAGAGAGAGGUGGAUUGGGUGGGCAGCAAUCCAUGGCUGCCGCUUGCCCCUAGUAUUUUUCCAUGGCUGUGGACGACGCAGCGGCGGGCUCCACGCCAAGGGAUCACACGUGGCGCGCUCCCAUUCGCUGCCUUGCACAUGCAUGGAUAACGCAACACCCAAUUCCCUCACUGACACCAAGGGACCCACCACCACACCCAGUUUUCUCAAACCAGCUACAUUAAGGGCAUCUAACAAUCAUCUAAAAAUGCUGCUAAAAAAAACAAUCAUCUAA
rnacentral:rRNA from 1 species